GGUGAAGAACGCAGCGAAAUGCGAUACGUAAUGUGAAUUGCAGAAUUCAGUGAAUCAUCGAGUCUUUGAACGCACAUUGCGCCCCCUGGUAUUCCGGGGGGCAUGCCUGUCCGAGCGUCAUUGCUGCCCUCAAGCACGGCUUGUGUGUUGGGCCUCCGUCCUCCUCCCGGGGGACGGGCCCGAAAGGCAGCGGCGGCACCGCGUCCGGUCCUCGAGCGUAUGGGGCUUCGUCACCCGCUCUUGUAGGCCCGGCCGGCGCUUGCCGACACAUCAAUCUUUUUUCCAGGUUGACCUCGGAUCAGGUAGGGAUACCCGCUGAACUUAAGCAUAUCAAUAAGCGGGGA
rnacentral:misc_RNA from 1 species